AAAGACCGAAGUACAUGAUUCCAUGCUUCCAAGAAAAGCAUCUAGAGAGAGAAGUAGUGCCCGUACCGCAAACCGACACAGGUAGAUGAGGAGAGAAUCCUAAGGCCGGCGGAAGAAUUGCAGUUAAGGAACUAGGCAAAUUGACCCCGUAAGUUCGCGAGAAGGGGUGCCUGCGAGAGCAGGCCGCAGAGAAUAGGCCCAAGCAACUGUUUAGCAAAAACACAGGUCUCUGCUAAAGCGUAAGCUGAUGUAUAGGGGCUGACGCCUGCCCGGUGCUGGAAGGUUAAGGGGAACACUUAGCGCAAGCGAAGGUGUGAACUUAAGCCCCAGUAAACGGCGGCCGUAACAAUAACGGUCCUAAGGUAGCGAAAUUCCUUGUCAGGUAAGUUCUGACCCGCACGAAUGGCGUAAUGACUUGGGCACUGUCUCAACUGCAAAUCCGGCGAAGUUGUAGUGCGAGUGAAGAUGCUCGCCACCCGCGAUUGGACGGAAAGACCCCGUAGAGCUUUACUGUAGCUUAGCAUUGAAUUCCGGUAUUGUCUGUACAGGAUAGGUGGGAGACUAGGAAACUAGGGCGUCAGCCUUAGUGGAGUCAACCUUGGGAUACCACCCUGACAGUACUGGGGUUCUAACAGGACGCCAUGAAGCUGGUGACUGGACAUUGUUAGGUGGGCAGUUUGACUGGGGCGGUCGCCUCCUAAAAAGUAACGGAGGCGCCCAAAGGUUCCCUCAGAACGGUCGGAAAUCGUUCGUAGAGUGCAAAGGCAGAAGGGAGCCUGACUGCGAGACCUACAAGUCGAGCAGGGACGAAAGUCGGGCUUAGUGAUCCGGUGGUACCUCGUGGGAGGGCCAUCGCUCAACGGAUAAAAGCUACCUCGGGGAUAACAGGCUGAUCUCCCCCAAGAGUCCACAUCGACGGGGAGGUUUGGCACCUCGAUGUCGGCUCGUCGCAUCCUGGGGCUGUAGUAGGUCCCAAGGGUUGGGCUGUUCGCCCAUUAAAGCGGCACGCGAGCUGGGUUCAGAACGUCGUGAGACAGUUCGGUCCCUAUCCGUCGCGGGCGUAGGAAAUUUGAGAGGAGCUGUCCUUAGUACGAGAGGACCGGGAUGGACUGACCUCUGGUGCACCAGUUGUUCUGCCAAGAGCAUGGCUGGGUAGCUAAGUCGGGAAGGGAUAAACGCUGAAAGCAUCUAAGCGUGAAGCCCCCCUCAAGAUGAGAUUUCCCAUAGCAUAAGCUAGUAAGACCCCUUGAAGAACACAAGGUUGAUAGGUCAGAGGUGGAAGUGCGGUAACGUAUGUAGCUGACUGAUACUAAUAGGUCGAGGGCUUGAUC
rnacentral:rRNA from 1 species